UGUAGUGCUCUUCUUUUCACGACCUUAUUCUCAUUUCCUCUUUGUCUCCUGAAACCCUAAUUAUCUUCUCCAGCGUUUUCUUCUACCACUCUAUCUAUGAUUUUCAGCGGUUUCUAUUUCUUUGCGUCGUCUGUAUCACUGAUUAGAGAACAAACCACAAUCACAAGUUAAAGGAAACACACCAUCGUCAUUUUUAUUUUGUUUAUGAUUACUAGAGAAUCUAAAGUGUAUCAUAGAUCUUUCUGCCCAAAGAUAUGGAUUUGCUAUUGAUUCUUGUCGUCUCUGGUGGAGAGGCAUAAUGGCAUAUCGACGACUCCAUCUUUGGCCGAGAUCCACACCAGAUGAUGAGAAGACAAUCCCCAAUGAGACCGUCAUAUGCAGCGGCCGUAAAAAAAUCACACAAGCAGUCCAUAAAAUCAUAGGGAUCAAUUUAGGACCUCCAGUGUUUUGUUAUGCUCAGUUGUUCCCCAAAGUGAUACUAUGAAUCCCUUUUAUAACGUGUAUAAUGUUGGUGGUAGAUUUAACUUACAGUUUUAUUUAAUGAUUCCAUUAAUUUAAUGUCUUUCUAUCAUUA